CGUAUAGAGAAUUUUGGCGCGUUUUUCUAUGGAAACUUCACCUAAUAUAAUGCUCCCAAAACACAUUCCAGUCUCAUCAAAUGCCUAAUAAUCCGAUUAUUUUUCUUUUUCUUCCUCUUUCUAUUUCUUCUAAAUAUUGUAAUUUCUACUGAGGAGAGUUUUGUAAAACCAUGUACAUACAAUAUUUAUAAAGAAAUAUGCAAUGACGUAAGCAAUCAACGUAACGCAAUGAGCACUAAAACAAAUAUAUCUGAAAGGAUAACUGCUACGAACAAAAAAACUGGGAAGCAUCCGCAAACUUUGAAAGUACAUGAUGCAGGACAUAAGCGCUUAACAGCAAGCCCUGGCAAAGAAGUUUUAUUACUCAGUAAAGGGGAUGUUGUAGAAGUCACGGUAAAAAGGAAUAGAAAGGCUGAAGUUCAGAAACGUCCUUCACCUAUAAUUUCUAGUCCUGGACAGAAAGUUGAAAGAAAAAAACCUGCAACCAGUAAUAGUGGUAUACCAGCAAACUGGGGUUCCAUAUUUGGAGAGCAGAAUUUAUUAUAUAUGAAAGCACAAUCCUUCAAACAUAAUGAAAAUAAAGACACUAACAAGAAUUCAAAUGCUGAAAGGAUACAGCAAAAUGGAUGUAAUCAUGUUCAGAAACAUACUGGUACAAUUUCAUCCAAAGGAAUAUCUUCUCGGGAAAAAUCACGGAAGAAUUCACAAGCCUCAUGUAUCUUUGUUCAGGACCGUGCUGUACAAUGUCCUGAAAUACCCAAUAAUACUAACAGAUUUGCUGAAUUUAAUCCAGUACAUACAUUAAGUUUUUUAAUUAAAGAAUUAAAGGAUUUAGUUCUGAAGAAAGAUGAUAGAACUUGUGAAAUCUUUACUGAAAUAGAACAAGUACUGUUCAGGAUACCUGUAAGCCCUGCAAAACCAGUAUCUGAGGAUUUGAAACUAGAUACACUAGAAGCCGGUGCACUUCAAUUAAAGGAAUCUAGUAAACAAGUGAAGGCUUUAUGCAAAUCAUGGAUGUUAGAACGAGAAAAAUUUCAAAGUUUAAUUCGAGAACAAGACACGCAAAUCCAGGAAGCAAAUCAAAAACAGAAAGAGAAUGUACUCCAUGCAGAGAUGCUUACACAAAAAUUGGAAGAAGUAACUCGUGUAACAAAAGCUAAAAAUGAAGCAAUAUCAGCAUUAAAGCGUCAAAUUGAAGAUAAUGAAAAAAUAAUCUCAGAUUUAAAAGAAGAAUUGACUAAGCAAACAGAACUUGUACAACUUAACGAACAUCUGAUAAUGGAUAAAGAUAAACUAUCGAAAUUGUUUUCUUACAAAGAUACAUUAAUCAUCGAAUAUCAAAAGAUAAUAAUAGAUCUACAAAAUCAAAUUGAAAAACUCAAAUUAAGAAAUUUAAAUGAAGUAUUUGCAAACGAAGGAAGUACAAGCUCUCAAGUAUCGGCUAUCCAAACAGGGCUGGCGUAUUCAUCUCCUACGUCGAGCUUUUCCGAUCACUCUAACAAAUCCUGGCACGAUUUAACAGAUAUUUCUACAGUAGCCUCUCAAGAACAUGUUACUCUAAAUAAAGACACACCCGUUAGAGAUUCAGCUCUUUUGGAGUUUGUUAGUUUACUCGACGGCGAAUCAUCACAUACUAUAAUCCCCGAUCACAGUCAAGUUAUGAACGAUAAAAGAACAGUGCAUAACAAUAAUAAAAGUAAUAUUGUUCCUUAUCAAAACAUGAAUGAUGUGAUUCCAAAAAAAUGUUUACAUCAUUCCUCGAAAAAUGGAUAUAAUAAAGAGAAAGAUGUGUGCAAAAUGAGAAAGUUUCUCAGAUUUAAGGAAAGACAAAAAAAUAAUACAAAGAAUUCGUUUUGUCCUAAUACAUUGAAAAUUUUUGAAAAUGUUGCAGCUAAUAAACCAAUGGUUUCUGAUAUAAGGAAACAAGGAUACGAUAUGCACCAUAGGACCAUACCUGUUAAUAUACCAAGUCCUUUACGGGAUUAUCCACAUCCUGAUUGGAGUGACAGUAGUUUACCUAGCGUUAGUACGGCCUCCGGCUUAGAUAUGGUGCCAUCGAACAAUAUUUAAGAAACUAUUUGUUUAAAAUAAACAACUUUUGCAAAGUUUCUCCAUCUGAAAAAUUACUAGUGUAAUUGUCAAUUCAUUGAACAUGUACAAAUUUAUAUCUUGUUGCAGAGCUGUGAUAAGCAGUCGUACAAUACACAUUCUACUUCAUAAUGAAGUCUACGAAAGCUAAAGCGAUUUUUACAUUAAAUGAAAUUGGCUUUCAAAUCAACGCAUGCACUACCCCUCUUCCUUGUCUUCUCCUCUUCGUUUUUGCGCGCAAUCGUAAAUUCGAUAUAUCGAUACCUCCCUUCAUACCCUUCUUGACCAAAAUGUCAAAUUUUGUGGCGCGGUGCGACGCUUCGCUUCAUCCGUUCGAAGAAAAUUCCGUCGCGAUUUGAGGAUAUUUGAAGUUUCCUUCCCCCGGAUACGUAUACUUUCACGUACAAGUAAGUACGGUUGUUGUUCUCUUAAUACAUAUUACAGAGGCGUUCUAAAAAACAUGAAUUUCAUUUGAUUCAUCCGCCGGUGGUCUCCCACGACCAUAUACGUUUAAAUUGUCUCUUUUUAACGUAUACUGUCAAACGUAUCAGGUCGUAUCAAAAGUCGCGCGUUUCUUUCAAUUUAGCGGGGAAGAAUCCUCGAUCAAAAUUUAAUCGAUCGUCAAUUAUCUUAAAUCGCAAUUCAAGAGUUUUCCAGGAAAAUCUCAAAGGAUAAAUUUUAUUAUUCGUUUAUAUCUCGAUAGUCUCGAUAAUCGUCAAAACUCUUUGAUUUGCAAUAAAUAAUUUUUCGUGUAAUCUCGAAUCCAUCGAAGAGUGUAAUAUCGCGAGACUUUCGAUAUAGCCUGUAUAUGUAAAAAUCAUGUAAAUAAAAAAUACGAUGAUAUAUCUAUACUAUAAUAAAAAUCGUGCACAGUGUUCUAUCAGAUGAGAAACUAUCUCGAUAAAGCACUGUAAGUCGAUCGACCAGAUAAUACAACAGCAAUGACCGUUGCCAAUGAAAAGACGUCUUGACGCAAACGUUUGCCAUGUAACGAUUUCGCAUUAGCUAACUUUUAUCUCUUGGAUGGAUUAUAUAUUCCGUUGUUAAAUUGUUUUUAUCAACGAGCUAUGUGAAAAACUAAACAGAACUGCAACUUUAAUUUUGCUCGCCCAAACGCCGAAAUUUUUAAAGAGAUUCUGAUAAAAAGAAGAUGAAAUGUCGCGUGAUGAUUCUUGACAGUGUUCGAAGUAGCUCUCUCGCGCCGUUUAAAUAAUAUGAAACUUUUAUUCCACCUUUUAAUCGCGUGACAUUCUUUCCGUGAAAUUUGGAGAUUAUCUCGAAAAGGAAUCGCACGAGACGCGAUCCAUCGGAAUCGAACGAUCGCUGCGUUUUUUAAUCUCAUGAGAUUCGGUCGAUGCUCGCUCAAUCGAUCAUCGUUGACUUAAAUUACAUUGGAGCACAUCAAAGUCUGUCGCGCGUUCACGAAAUUACGUCGAUAUCUCGCUCUUCUUUUGAUUUUAUAUCUUGUAUAUGAAAUAGCCAAAAGAAUUAAUAUAUCGGAGAGAAAAAUAUUUAACACACACGGUAUUCGGCACGGAAACCUUUGCGUAAGUGUAUACGUAUGUGCACAUUCGUAUACCUAUUUUUUUUUUUAAUAAAUACAUAUGUACAUUUUGUGUCGAUCGUAAAGUUAAACGUGCAUUCGUUUUUGGUACCAUUUGCUUCUCUUCCUUUUUUUUUUGAUUUCCUCGCUUCGAAGCGCAUACACAUCUCGCGUUUUUAAAGAUAUUCGGAAUUAACUAGCGUCAAUGUAUAAUAUAAUACAAUCGGUGCUGUGAAGACAACGGACGAAUGGAACGCUAAUUAUAUCUAUUUGGACAGGCCAGCUCGCUUCGCAGAAGAGUGUCUCGUGAAGAAAUUAACACUUUCGUAAUUUUUGAUGAUCGCGGAUUAACGGCCGCGUCUCGUCGUAUGGUAUAAUAUCACUAACAUAUGUAUACGUAUCUUAUAAUGCGUAUAUUACAAUAGACGAUCAUUCGUGUAGAAAUCGUAAAAUUGUGAGUCGAUUAAAAUGAAUCUAGCCGACUUUAUAAUAUCCUAAUUAAUAAUCUCAACUAUAUAAUUAUUAUACGCCCAAAUAUAUAGCUCAGAUAUCGGAAGUGAUAGUGGGCUGUUGUAAAAAUAAAAAUUUAACAUUUGUCAUCUUGAGGUUGCAUGUUAUGGAAGGACAUGUUUUAUUGUUUUAUUGUACGUUAUAUACUGCUUUGUUCGGUGUAAAAAUAUAAAGCAUUUCGAUUACAGACUUCAUACGUACGGGCGUUGCCAUUGUUACGGAGUAAUCGGCGGCUAUUACGAUAACUUGUCUCAUACUUUCCUGUAACUUUGUCUUUUUUCCUUGACCUAGGAUUGCGUGCGUGUUCGUUAAGAGAAAAAAAAAAGAAAGAAAAAAAAUCAUUAAAAAGAAAUAACAUACAGCGAAAUUAUAGGGAGAGACAAUUAUUACAAUCAAACUGUAAAAAUUAUUCCUAGAUAAUUAGAAAAAAAUUAAAACAUCGCGUUGCAACGCGAGCAUUUUUUUCGCGUUAAAAGAAUAAUGUUAGAAAAUCCAAUUGUUGAAGUUCUCGAGAAAUUUUUGUUUCUUAGAUUCUUGAAAUCCUCUAUUUUAAUUGUCCUUCGAACAAUAAUUAUUACAUUCUAAAGGGGGACGCAAUUACACACGGAUAUUAAAAAAAAAUAAUCCCAGCUUUAUGUAAGCAAUCCUACUUCAAGAAACACAGUCCCGAGUUCUCGUUCGUCUAACAAUGGCCCAGACUAUGGAGUUAAUAAUUGCUUUCAUGUGGCAAUGGUAACAAUAUGUGUGUAUAACAAAUAUACUUAGAACGGUUUCACUUGUGGUAUUACGGUUCUCUGCAAUAAAUCAUAUUCAUCUGUUCAACUGUUGCUGAAUAACAAGGUAUGUGGAGUAAUAUAUG